rnacentral:rRNA from 1 species
AGUAAUUUAAUGGCUGCAGUAUUUUAACUGUACAAAGGUAGCAUAAUAAUUAGUUCCUUAAUUAGGGACUGGAAUGAAAGAUUGAACGAGAUAAAAAUUGUCUCUUUUUAAAUUUUAAAAUUUUAUUUUUAAGUUAAAAAGCUUAAAUAAUAUUAAAAGACGAGAAGACCCUAUAGAGUUUUAUAAUUAUAAAUUAAUUAAAUUUUAGAAUUAAAAUUUUAAUUAUUAAAUAAUUAUUUGAUUGGGGUGAUUUAAAAAUUUAAUAAACUUUAAUAUAUUUUACAUAAAUUAAUGAAUAAUUGAUCCAUAUUUUAUGAUUAAAAGAUUAAAUUACCUUAGGGAUAACAGCGUAAUUUUUUUAAAGAGUUCUAAUCGAAAAAAAAGAUUGCGACCUCGAUGUUGGAUUAAAAUAAAUUUUUGGUGUAGAAGCUAAAAUAUUAGGUCUGUUCGACCUUUAAAAUUUUACAUGAUCUGAGUUUAAAUCGGCGUGAGCCAGGUUGGUUUCUAUCUUUAAUAAAAUAAAAUAUUUUAGUACGAAAGGACCAAAUGUUUAUAAAAUUUAUUUUAUAAUGAUUAAUAUUA